UACGGGGGGAGCAAGCGUUGUUCGGAAUUACUGGGCGUAAAGGGCGCGUAGGCGGUCAGGUAAGUGAGAUGUGAAAUCCUCCGGCUCACCCGGAGAAAUGCAUCUCAUACUGCUUGACUAGAGUUCGGGAGAGGAAUCGGGAAUUCCAGGUGUAGCGGUGAAAUGCGUAGAUAUCUGGAGGAACACCGGUGGCGAAGGCGGCAUCCUGGACCAACACUGACACUGAGGAGCGAAAGCCAGGGGAGCAAACGGG
rnacentral:rRNA from 1 species